rnacentral:rRNA from 1 species
UACGAAGGGUGCAAGCGUUACUCGGAAUUACUGGGCGUAAAGCGUGCGUAGGUGGUUUGUUAAGUCUGAUGUGAAAGCCCUGGGCUCAACCUGGGAAUUGCAUUGGAUACUGGCAGGCUAGAGUGCGGUAGAGGAUGGCGGAAUUCCCGGUGUAGCAGUGAAAUGCGUAGAGAUCGGGAGGAACAUCUGUGGCGAAGGCGGCCAUCUGGACCAGCACCGACGUUCAGGCACGAAAGCGUGGGGAGCAAACAGG